UUCAUUGUAGUCUAGUUGGUCAAGAUACUCGGCUCUCAUCAAAGAGACCCGAGUUAAAAUCCCGGCAACGAAA
rfam:Picea glauca, whole genome shotgun sequence.